UGGGGAAUAUUGCACAAUGGGGGGAACCCUGAUGCAGCCAUGCCGCGUGAAUGAAGAAGGCCUUCGGGUUGUAAAGUUCUUUCGGUGACGAGGAAGGUUGGUAGGUUAAUAGCCUAUCAAAUUGACGUUAAUCACAGAAGAAGCACCGGCUAACUCCGUGCCAGCAGCCGCGGUAAUACGGGGGGUGCGAGCGUUAAUCGGAAUAACUGGGCGUAAAGGGCACGCAGGCGGUGACUUAAGUGAGAUGUGAAAGCCCCGAGCUUAACUUGGGAAUUGCAUUUCAUACUGGGUCGCUAGAGUACUUUAGGGAGGGGUAGAAUUCCACGUGUAGCGGUGAAAUGCGUAGAGAUGUGGAGGAAUACCGAAGGCGAAGGCAGCCCCUUGGGAAUGUACUGACGCUCAUGUGCGAAAGCGUGGGGAGCAAACAGGAUUAGAUACCCUGGUAGUCCACGCUGUAAACGAUGUCGAUUUGGGGAUUGGGCUUUAAGCUUGGUGCCCGUAGCUAACGUGAUAAAUCGACCGCCUGGGGAGUACGGCCGCAAGGUUA
rnacentral:rRNA from 1 species